GACGAACGCUGGCGGCGUGCUUAACACAUGCAAGUCGAACGGAAAGGCCCUGCUUUUGUGGGGUGUUCGAGUGGCGAACGGGUGAGUAACACGUGAGUAACCUGCCCUUGACUUUGGGAUAACUUCAGGAAACUGGGGCUAAUACCGGAUAGGAGCUCCUGCUGCAUGGUGGGGGUUGGAAAGUUUCGGCGGUUGGGGAUGGACUCGCGGCUUAUCAGCUUGUUGGUGGGGUAGUGGCUUACCAAGGCUUCGACGGGUAGCCGGCCUGAGAGGGUGACCGGCAACAUUGGGACUGAGAUACGGCCCAGACUACUAAGGGAGGCAGCAGUGGGGAAUAUUGCACAAUGGGCGGAAGCCUGAUGCAGCAACGCCGCGUGCGGGAUGACGGCCUUCGGGUUGUAAACCGCUUUCGCCUGUGACGAAGCGUGAGUGAAGGUAAUGGGUAAAGAAGCACCGGCUAACUACGUG
rnacentral:rRNA from 1 species